CCUGGAAAUUCCAAGUUCCAGGGAAGUGUCCUACCC
rnacentral:sRNA from 1 species